GAUGAACGCUGGCGGCGUGCCUAAUACAUGCAAGUCGAGCGAACAGACGCGCAGCUUGCUUCCCUGACUUUAGCGGCGGACGGGUGAGUAACACGUGCAUAACCUUCCUAUUAGACUGGGAUCACUUCGGUAAACCGGAUCCCAUACCGGAUCAUAUACUGAACCGCAUGGUUCAAUAGGUAUAGGCGGUUUUGCUGGCACUUAGAGCUGGUUCCGCGGCGCGUUAGAUAGUUGGUAAGGUAACGGCUUACCAAGGCACCGCGGCGUAGCCGACCGGAGAGAGUGAUAGGCCACACUGGAGCUGAGACACGGUCCAGACUCCUAAGGGACGCAGCAGAAGGCAACCUUCGGCAGUGGGCGGAAGCCUGACGCAGCAACGCCACGUGUGUGACGAAGGUCUUCGGAUCGUAAUAAUCUGUUAUUAGGGAAGAACCGCUGUGUAAGUAGCUAUGGCCGUCUUGACGGUACCUAAUCAGAAAGCAACGGCUAACUACGUG
rnacentral:rRNA from 1 species